CUAUCAUGCAAGUCGAACGCGCAGCGAAAGGUGCUUGCACCUUUCAAGCGAGUGGCGAACGGGUGAGUAACACGUGGAUAACCUGCCUCAAGGCUGGGGAUAACAUUUGGAAACAGAUGCUAAUACCGAAUAAAACUUAGUAUCGCAUGAUACAAAGUUGAAAGGCGCUACGGCGUCACCUAGAGAUGGGUCCGCGGUGCAUUAGUUAGUUGGUGGGGUAAAGGCCUACCAAGACAAUGAUGCAUAGCCGAGUUGAGAGACUGAUCGGCCACAUUGGGACUGAGACACGGCCCAAACUCCUACGGGAGGCUGCAGUAGGGAAUCUUCCACAAUGGGCGAAAGCCUGAUGGAGCAACGCCGCGUGUGAUGAAGGCUUUAGGGUCGUAAAGCACUGUUGUAUGGGAAGAAAUGCUAGAAUAGGGAAUGAUUCUAGUUCGACGGUACCAUACCAGAAAGGGACGGCUAAAUAC
rnacentral:rRNA from 1 species